rnacentral:rRNA from 1 species
GACGAACGCUGGCGGCGUGCUUCAUACAUGCCAGUCGAACGAGAAGCUGACUUCGGUCAGUGGACAGUGGCGGACGGGUGAGUAAUAUGUAGGAAAUCUGCCUUUAGGAGGGGGACAACAGAGGGAAACUUCUGCUAAUACCCCAUAUGAGCGUAGCUGAAAUGCUAUUCUUGAAAACUCCGGUGCCUAAAGAUGAGCCUGCAUCUGAUUAGCUAGUUGGUAGUGUAAUGGACUACCAAGGCGACGAUCAGUAGCUGGUUUGAGAGGAUGAUCAGCCACAAUGGGACUGAGACACGGCCCAUACUCCUACGGGAGGCAGCAGUAGGGAAUUUUGCGCAAUGGGCGAAAGCCGGACGCAGCAACGCCGCGUGAACGAUUAAGCCCUUCGGGGUGUAAAGUUCUGUCAGUGGGGACGAAACUUGACGGUACCCACAGAGGAAGCACCGGCUAACUCCGUG